rnacentral:lncRNA from 1 species
GGGUAUGGAAUAGGAUAUUUUUUUUUUUUAAGUGGCUAAGGUGAUGAAAACUCAACUUUUUAUUACAAAAUAACUAUGCUAAACACAAUUAUCUACAAACAUCGACUAGAAGGCAACAAUUUUUCGCCUUUUAUUAAAUCAAACUAUAAACACAUAUUUUUGUGUUUUUCUUAACAAUUUUUUUUUCUUCUUUUUCACAAUUUUUCUGUUUUUUUUUUUUUUUUUUUUUUGCAAAUAUAAACCACAACUAUACAAACAAAUAAUCCUAAAAUCGAAUUUCCAUCACACGGGUUUAAAAGAAAAAGGUUUACGGUUAUGGGCUAUAGGGUGGUCAAACGAAAGGUAAGCAAAUGGUGUAAAAGAAAAAGGUUUACCUAAUGCCUUAAUCAUUCUCGUGCUUGUAUUCGGUCUAUGGUCUCAAACGUAUCAAAAGAUGCAAGUUCUACAAUACAUGACUAAUGGUCCACUCAAACAAAGAAACAUAUAUAUGUAAUUCUAUUAUGUAAAAGUGGCUCAAAACCUCACAUAUAUAAAGGGUAUGGUAUGUGACGUGCAUGAUGUGCUAGUUUCUUAGGCGAAUUAUUCCCAAAUAACCACCCGCUAAAUACCCGUCAUGCUAUUAACUUGAACUUGACCAUGACAAAAGACCAAAUGAGUUGUGACAUCCCUCGUUAACUUAGUUACUUGUGCUUUUUAGAUUGCUUCAAACAAAGACAUUUUGAAAAAUUUUUGAAAUUUUUCCCCCAUCCCCACACUUGAGGUAAACAUUGUCCUCAAUGUGUAGUGUUUAGAUGAACGGGUCAAAAAUCGAAAAACUUUUACUACUCCCCCAUCCCCACACUUGAGGUAAACAUUGUCCUCAAUGUGUAAGAACUAGAGUUUUUUAAAAACGCACAAGGGAUGUGACACGACUAACUUCCCCAAAAUUUCACCCCGGAAAAAUAAUAUACAAUUUACAAUCCACUUAUUUGCUAACUAAAAAAUCAAAAGUAAAAAGGGAACGUAUGCACCUGAUUUUUAGAGCUCAUUCCUCGUGUGCUCUUCAUCUCUUCAACAAAGCGGUCGUCUCACAAACAUAAUGUACCUACAAAUCUUAACCCUUGUGUAGAAGCAUGCUUCUCACAACCAUUAAAAUUUAUUAGCUACCUAGUUCUACCACUUUUAUGAAAAUAUUACCAAGUCAUACAUUAAUUUACUUUGAUUUAUGUGGAAAAAUAAUUUACAACAAUAACAAGCCUAACUCACUUUCGUAGGAAUCACGGUUGCAUUUAGCUUAUGCAACAAGCCCUUUUAAACCUCUCAAUAGCUUGGGAGGACGAGAGGUCUCGUGAGGGUUAUAUAGGGAACACACCCACAACGUUCAUUUA